UCCCUGGUGGUCCAGUGGUUAGGACUCUGCACUUCCACUGCAGGGGACAUGGGUUCGAUUCCUGAUCCAGGAA
rnacentral:tRNA from 1 species